rnacentral:lncRNA from 1 species
AGGACAACCCCAAGGAUCAGUUCCUUCCUCCUCUUCCUUCUGUAUCUGAGGGAGGAAGAGGAGGAAGAACAGAAAACCGUAUUUUUCAGAAGUCAUAUCAACUGGUGCUUCAAACCCUAGUCAUCAUGAAAUCUUUGCAAGUAUUUGCUUUGGAUUCGUGAAUAUGUUGUUGUUUAUGAUUCCAAACCUGUCACACUAAAGAAGAGGAUGUAACAAGCCUCCAAUACUUCUACCGAAGAGUAUUCACUACAGAAAUAGAUAUAAAGAUGAAUGACUUUGCAGAAUCAGAUCCCCCUGGGCAUAACUGCCCAGAAAGACUGUACAUCAAUCAGAAAGCCUUCUGGAUACUGCUGGAUUAAGCUUCUACAUGGAAUUAGUGUAGGAUUUAGUCUUAGUUAGUCUAUGAACUUGUAAGUUUACUAGCAUUACUGAGUAUUCCUUGCUAUACCCACUUAUGCUAUUUUAGUCAUAUUCUA